AGAGUUUGAUCCUGGCUCAGAACGAACGCUGGCGGCAGGCUUAACACAUGCAAGUCGAACGCUCUUUUCGAAGAGAGUGGCAGACGGGUGAGUAACGCGUGGGAAUCUACCUAGUGGUAAGGAACAACACAGAGAAAUUUGUGCUAAUACCUUAUACGCCCUGAGGGGGAAAGAUUUAUCGCCAUUAGAUGGGCCCGCGUUUGAUUAGCUAGUUGGUGAGGUAAUGGCUCACCAAGGCGACGAUCAAUAGCUGGUCUGAGAGGAUGAUCAGCCACACUGUGACUGAGACACGGCCCAGACUCCUACGGGAGGCAGCAGUGGGGAAUAUUGGACAAUGGGCGCAAGCCUGAUCCAGCCAUGCCGCGUGUGUGAUGAAGGCCUUAGGGUUGUAAAGCACUUUCAACGGUGAAGAUAAUGACGGUAACCGUAGAAGAAGCUCCGGCUAACUUCGUGC
rnacentral:rRNA from 1 species